rnacentral:rRNA from 1 species
AAUGCCGGAUGUUCCAGUUGAUCGCAUGGUCUUCUGGGAAAGCUUUCGCGGUAUGGGAUGGGGUCGCGUCCUAUCAGCUUGACGGCGGGGUAACGGCCCACCGUGGCUUCGACGGGUAGCCGGCCUGAGAGGGCGACCGGCCACAUUGGGACUGAGAUACGGCCCAGACUCCUACGGGAGGCAGCAGUGGGGAAUAUUGCACAAUGGGCGCAAGCCUGAUGCAGCGACGCCGCGUGAGGGAUGGAGGCCUUCGGGUUGUAAACCUCUUUUAUCGGGGAGCAAGCGAGAGUGAGUUUACCCGUUGAAUAAGCACCGGCUAACUACGUGCCAGCAGCCGCGGUAAUACGUAGGGUGCAAGCGUUAUCCGGAAUUAUUGGGCGUAAAGGGCUCGUAGGCGGUUCGUCGCGUCCGGUGUGAAAGUCCAUCGCUUAACGGUGGAUCCGCGCCGGGUACGGGCGGGCUUGAGUGCGGUAGGGGAGACUGGAAUUCCCGGUGUAACGGUGGAAUGUGUAGAUAUCGGAAAAG